AUGAGAUUGAUUCAAAGGUUCUGUGCUGGCAGAGAUAAGCAGCUGGAUUUAGCUCAAACACAUCUAAUACAGUGUGAGCUUUUGUGGACUCUGGCCCACAACAUCAGAGUAGAUGUGACAAGAGGCGGGGCUACAGACUCACUUCCUCAAAGACUAAUAUUGUUAGGUACCUGAUUUCUGCCUACGUUUGGAUGGUGAUCUUUUAUUCAUAAGUGAACAGGAGACUGGGCUCAGUUUGAAAAAUGAUUGCUACAAGUUGUAAACAUGUAUUGUUUUCUGGAAUACUGCUCUUCAGUUUUAAAAUGGUGAGUGAAAUAAUUUUGAUCUUAAUUAAGAAAAGUAAUAUUGUGCAAUGGAUUAACUUGCUCAUUUAUUAGUGAAUUAUUUCUUUGCAUUGCAUUCUUUAGAUGUUGUCCUUUUCUGGAAUUAUGCAACAACAAGAUACAUCUGUAUGGUAAUUUUAGGACGCAGGCAGCUGAAUCCACAAACACUUAUAAAGGUAUACUAUAGUUGUAGAUUGAGCUGUCUGUGUUCUAAAAUUAACAUAAAGAUACAUUUUGCCUGUGACCCUAAUAACAUAUAAUUUUGAUUUAUGCAAUCUCAUACUGUUAGUAGAAUACAGGUAUACCAUCACAAGCAGUCGCAGGGAGAGAAAAGCCUAGCCUUGUGAUUUUGUAUAUUGUUUGGGUAUUUUUGCAUAUUUGUUCCUAGUUUGUUUUCUGCUGUGAUCUCCCGUAUGUCUUAUUAAUUCAGUCAGAUAGUUUAUUUUAGUUAAUGCAAGCAAGUGAUAAACCGAACAGUCCGGUUUAACUGGAAUGUGAACCAAAGAUCCUUUAUGCUAUAGUUUGAAGUAUUUUGGCUCUGAUAUAGAAGUAAUUGCAGGCCAUAACUGAUUCAUAAAAACAAGAUGAGGGUUGAUACGUUGUAUGUCCCUAUUCACAUUGAAAUACACAUCUUAUUAUUAGGGCUUGGAUGAUGAGUGCCAUGAUACUUCUUAUUUCUUAUCAGACUAUUUCUUACUAUUUAUUGCUAUUUCUUAUCAGACUUGGAAGAUUAAGAGGACAAAGCUCCCACUCAAAGUAAAGCAAAUUACAUCCAAGUAAUAUUUGUGUUUGGCCUGCCAAUCUGUCAGCAUUUGGAAAACUUCCCUUUCAGGUUCAUAGGCAGAUUCAGGAAGGGGAGGUUAAUUAGUAGUGGGAUAUACCAAAUCCCAUAAUAGGUCUACAAUUGAUGUAUAUAUCUAUGUGUAUUUAACCAGUCAAAAUAAAAUGAGGCAUUAUAGUUAAAGAGAAAAAUAU
rnacentral:lncRNA from 1 species